rnacentral:rRNA from 1 species
UACGUAGGGGGCUAGCGUUGUCCGGAAUUAUUGGGCGUAAAGCGCGUGUAGGCGGUCCGGUAAGUCCGCUGUGAAAGUCGGGGGCUCAACCCUCGGAUGCCGGUGGAUACUGUCGGGCUUGAGUACGGAAGAGGCGAGUGGAAUUCCUGGUGUAGCGGUGAAAUGCGCAGAUAUCAGGAGGAACACUAAUUGCGAAGGCAGCUCGCUGGGACGUUACUGACGCUGAGACGCGAAAGCGUGGGGAGCAAACAGG